UUUACAAAAAGUGCGUAUGUGGAUUUUUAAAUCAGAAACCUACAGAGAAAUGUAAACUUCCUGCCAUAAAUAACAUGUGAGAUCUGCAGUAAAACACAAUUUAUAAACAUUUUUAAUUUUAUAGAACUUGUUUGAAUCAAAUCAAGUUUAAUUUAAUGCAAAUUUUUUCAAAGAAUUAUAUUCACUUGUCAGAUUUGGUUCAUUCCACACAGUCACAACAACUUAACAGAAGAAGUCUAACGUCUGUGACAAAGUGCAAAGUUUCAAAGCAAAAAGUCACUGAAAUGACCAGUUUGACUGUGUGAAGCCUAAAAUAUUGGUCAUGCCAUUGUUAGUUAUAUCGUGUUACUGUAAGGUAAAAUAACACAAGGAAGCGUACAAAAGCAUCGGGCAAUUUUAAAACAAAAAAACAACACAACUGAUGGUCCCAACCCCAUAAAGAAGGCAAAACAUUUCACCAAUGAACCCUGACAGGCACACCUGUGAUGUGAAAACCAUUUUAGGUGAUUACAUCAUGAAGCUCUCUGAGAGAAGGCCAAGGGUUUACAGCGCUGUCAACAAAGCAAAGGGCUACUUUGAGGAAUCUAUAGUGUAAGACAUCCAUCCAUUCGCUUCCGCUUCUCCUUUUCAGGGUCGCGGGGGGCGCUGGAGCCUAUCCCAGCUGUCAUAGGGCGAGAGGCGGGGUACACCCUGGACAGGUCGCCAGUCUGUCGCAGGGCCAACACACAGGGACAGACAACCAUUCACACUCACACCUAGUAGCAAUUUGGAUUAUCCAAUUAACCUAUCCCCACAAACUGCAUGUCUUUGGACGGUGGGAGGAAGCCAGAGAGAACCCACGCAAACACGGGGAGAACAUGCAAACUCCACACAGAAAGACCCCGGCCUGAUGGUGGAAUUGAACUCAGGACCUUCUUGCUGUGAGGCAACAGUGCUAACCACCGUGCCACCGUGCUGCCCUAGUAUAAGACAUAUUCAGAUAAUUUUUUUCUUUUCUUUGCUACAUGACUCCAUAUAUUUUGCUUAAUAUAUUUGAUGUCUUCAGUAUGCAUCUACAAUGUAGAAAGUAGUAAAACUAAAGAAAAACCUUUAAAUGAGAAUGUGUGUCUAAAUUUUGACUGGUUGUGUAUAUUUAAAGUGUGUUAUCAAAUAAUUUUCAGACCAACAAACUGUUUUU
ensembl:lncRNA